rnacentral:ncRNA from 1 species
UACCUUUGCCCUCAGAUUGGUGGCGAUACCUAUUACCGUAGGUAUUGCCUUAAAAGGGAAGCAGGUGUAAGUCCUGCGCUGUUCCCGCAACUGUCAUCUUCAUAAAAAGGGUUAGCCUAACACCAACGGCCACUGUGCAGCAAGCGCUGCGUGGGAAGGCGGGCUAACUGAAGAGAGCCAGGAGACCUGCCAGUCCGGCAUUUUUUAG